UACGUAGGUUCCGAGCGUUGUCCGGAUUUAUUGGGCGUAAAGCGAGCGCAGGUGGUUUAUUAAGUCUGGUGUAAAAGGCAGUGGCUCAACCAUUGUAUGCAUUGGAAACUGGUAGACUUGAGUGCAGGAGAGGAGAGUGGAAUUCCAUGUGUAGCGGUGAAAUGCGUAGAUAUAUGGAGGAACACCGGUGGCGAAAGCGGCUCUCUGGCCUUAACCUGACGCUGAGGAGCGAAAGCUAGGGGAGCAAACGGG
rnacentral:rRNA from 1 species